GCCCAUGUGGCUCAGUGGUAGAGCACUCCCUUGGUAAGGGAGAGGUCAAGCGUUCGAUCCGCUUCAUGGGCACCA
rnacentral:tRNA from 1 species